rnacentral:rRNA from 1 species
UACGUAGGGCGCAAGCGUUGUCCGGAAUUAUUGGGCGUAAAGAGCUCGUAGGCGGUCUGUUACGUCCGCUGUGAAAACCCAGGGCUUAACCCUGGGCUUGCAGUGGAUACGGGUAGACUAGAAGCAGGUAGGGGAGAAUGGAAUUCCCGGUGUAGCGGUGAAAUGCGCAGAUAUCGGGAGGAACACCGGUGGCGAAGGCGGUUCUCUGGGCCUGACCUGACGCUGAGGAGCGAAAGCGUGGGGAGCGAACAGG